AGAGAGAGAGAGAGAGAGAGAGAGAGAGAGAGAGAGAGAGAACAACGAUUGUAUCGUGCUGCUUCUAUUGCAUUUAAUUUCUUGGGCUUACAGCUGGAGAAGAGAUUUCACCGGAGCCUGCUCAACUCUUUAAUUUCACAAGAAUUCACAGAGAACGCUUCUAAAGCAGGAAUCCUGGGAGAGAGAGAGAGAGACCCACAACUUUGAAGGAAUCUAAACUGAAUAACUGAUCUCUCCAUCUAUGCUUGGUGAAGAAAUGACAUAAUCAACGAACUUUGCCUGCCAGGGUGGAGUCCGGGCAACUGAAUGGAGCUAGCAGCGUGUUUAAUGGCCAGAUGCCCUUCCUCUCGCCAAUGCGGAGUUUUGUUCAGCAGAUAUAGUCUCAUUGGGCCCAGGGAGAGAAAUAUCUGCCUCUACCUAGGAUCGAACUCACAGCCGCCUGAUUGUGAGAUGAGAGCUCCACCUCUAGGCACCACUCCGCAUGACUCUGGAUAGCGAACAGAGAAUAAAAACCACAUAAAAAGAUAAGUAGUUAAUGUGAUAUAAGAUAGUCAACUUUCUUUGAUCUGGCAUUUUUGGUUGACUGCCGCUGAUUCAUGAAGAUUUGCUUUCAUUUGGGGUCAUUCAUAUCCAGCUAAGUGGCUGCCAGUUGAUUACACAUCCCUGAUCUGGGACUCACACAGCCUUUUUCUUAAGAAUACCUGCUCCAUUUGCAAAACUGUUAAAAUUGUCCACUACCCCAAGAGGCUUUCAAACAGAGAGGUGUUUGAUAAAAAUGACAAUCCAAUUGAGGGGAAGGAAGUUUCUUUGCCAAACUCUUGCUUCACUGCUGCGAUAGAUUCAACUGGGAGUGCUUUCUGACAGCCUUUUAAAGUAGUGCAAUGUUUAAAUUGAAUUGCUUUAAUUGGGUGGUGCCUGAGAAUUGGCUUGAAUGUUAGGAGAAGGCAGGAGGUAAAGGUUUUGAGUAAUAUUUCGAUUCUCCCGAGAUUUUAACCUUUGCAUGUCCAACUAUCCAGUGGUGGGUUUCAAAAUUUGUUACUAUCGGUUCUGUGGGUGUGGCUUGGUGGGCGUGGCAUGGCUUGGUGGGCAUGGCAGGGGAAGGAUACUGUAAAAUCUCCAUUCCCUCCCCAAUCCAAGGGAUGGUUAUUGCAAAAUCCCCAUUUCCUCCCAAUCAGCUGGGACUUGGGAGGCAGAGAAUAGAUGGGGGCGGGGCCAGUCAGAUUUUUUACUACCGGUUCUCUGAACUACUCAAAAUUUCCGCUAUCAGUUCUCCAGAACCUGCUGAAAACCACCUCUGCAACUAUCUCUUGGAAUCUCUUGAUUUUUUGAAUUUCUGUUUUCUGUAUCCAUUUAUGUACAGUAAAUGCUACCAUGUUUACCUACAUUUCCAUAGUGGCAAAUGAUCUUCCAUAGAUCUUCCAAGAUAGCAGAGCUACUGCUUCGUGGCAACCCACCCAUUAAAGCCUGCCAAGGUUCUUGCAAAUUAACUUCAGUUGUAGAAACUAUCUGUGCACCUUGAUCUGAUGAAGAUUCUGGAGUUCCUCUUGACAUUCAGA